CAUAGGGACAAAUGAUAUCUUAAAAGCAGAAAUAUUUUCAAGCAGAUGUUCCUAAAAGAAAAGAAAUGAAUGGAAAGAUUUCUCACAUUAAGGGAAAACCAUAAUUAGACCAUAGAUGAGUAUUAAGUAAUCAUUCAGCUAAUGGUCUCUUUUCUAAAAUAAAAAAUAAAAACUGAAAAAGAGAGAAAUAUAUCAAUGAGAGGAUCUUUUAUGAACGAAUCUAUUAUUUUAAUUACACACUUCCUAAAUACGGCUAAGAAUGCUCAGUGUUUUAUUCACAGUGAAGAGAAAAUUGUCAGGUAUUGUUGAAUCCAUUGGGAAAUUUGGAUUGUGCCUUUUCACUGAGCACUUGAAGUCCUAUAUAAGGAACAGCUGGUCACCUUGGCAAGAGGCUCAUGCGAGUAAACUUAGAAUCCCCUGCAGUCUUCCAACAGCCAUGUGAAUGAACUUGGAAGAAAGAAAGGGCCGGCAACCUUUUGCUGCAAAGAAAUGGAAGGCACAGCAUGCCACACAGGACUACACGGAGAAGUACAUGUGAACCACCAGCGGUCAGGGAGAAAGGAACUGCAGGAAUAUGUGAAUCUACAGUGACUGAAGACAGGGACGGCGACUAAAACAAGCUUGACCAGUUCAGAACAAGUAGGAACUGACUCUGAAAACCAGUUCCUGCAUCUGAGGCUGUGGGUAUUGGAGGCUGGAAGUUUUCCAAAUUAGCUUCCAUGCAGAAGACAAUGUAUUCGAAGUAUAAGUAAUAAAAAUGUGCCGAUCUGAA